CAUGAAAUGAAUGGGAAUCAGCCUGUAAAAUGUGCUCUUAUUGUGAAAGUCUGCCUGCUGCUUCCUCAUAGGUGGAGUCCUGACUGGUUCCAGGAAACAGAUCACCUGUCUGAGCGUCCAGGAGUGGACUGGAAACUUUCUUCUUCUUCUUCAGCGCUUUGAAUAAAGUGUGAAGGUAGAAAGUGUGUGUGAGCUGCUGUGAGUUGAGCAUCAUGGAUGAGUGUGAGGACAGAGAGGAGGGAGUCCCUCCCUCUAAAAGCUCUCUGUGUGGGGAACAGGAGAACCAGAGCAAAGCUCAGAGGAAUCCACCUGGACCUGGACCUGGACCUGGACCUGCAUCCAGCUGUGUGUCCUUCAAGAGUGACCAGUCUAAAGGUCAUCCUAUCGAAUUUAAAGGAGAACCAGGUCCUGAAGUAGGAGGA